GGGGGCGUAGCUCAAAUGGUAGAGCGCUCGCUUAGCAUGCGAAAUGUACGGGAAUUGAUACCCCACGACUCCA